GUUUACAUUUGGCUGCCCAAAGCCUGUCGGAUUACGGACCCCCCCAAACACACCCGGCCCCCCCGGCCCCCCGCAGUAGCGGCGUGCCGGAGCCCGCCCGCCGACACCUCGCCGCGGCCCGGAGUCUGAAACAGCUGCUCUGAAGAGAUCUUUCACAUGAAUGACUAGGCUGUGAAUUGCUAAGUUCCUGGUUUGCUAUGGACACAACUGUUUCAAUUUCCUGCUGCUGCAUCCUGUUAUUCUUCCCAAGAUUUUGGUGCAGAACAGGGCAGAGAUAACUCACCUGCAGCCGGUGGAUUAGACUGUUGAUAAGAAGGAACAGAUGGUGGCAUCAUCCUGUCUCAGCACCAAGCACUGUCUGGGAGAUGUAUGCCAUGUAAAAAGCAUCCCUGUCUGGAGAAGCAGAUAGUGCUCCUGCAAAGUGAAUUACAGCUUUUGUUUCCCUGGAAAAGAGAAAAAAAAUGAGAAGAGAAGAGAGAAGAGAAGAGAGAAGAGAGGAGAAAGAAGGGAAGAGAAGAGAAGAGAAGAGAAGAGAAGAGAAGAGAAGAGAAGAGAAGAGAA